UCAAGUCAUCAUGGCCCUUAUGUCCAGGGCUACACACGUGCUACAAUGGUCGGAACAACGUGAAGCGAAACCGCGAGGUUAGAGCGAAGCAUGGAAAACCGAUCGUAGUUCGGAUUGAAGUCUGAAACCCGACUUCAUGAAGUUGGAAUCGCUAGUAAUCGCGCAUCAGCAUGGCGCCGGUGAAUACGUUCCCGGGCCUU
rnacentral:rRNA from 1 species